rnacentral:rRNA from 1 species
CUUCACAAGCCUCUGCUAAUGUGUACAUUGUUUAUACUAAGUGACCCAUAGGUUGAGGAGGCGGUGACCGUGGCCAAAACUGUUUUUUAUAUAUAUAUAUUUUUAUUUUAAUUGGGGUAGCCCCCAAAAUAUUGGGACAUAUAAAACAAGACAACUCUUUUCCGCUGAGUAGCUGUUGACAUUAUAGUUGCGCAGGAUCUUUGUUGAUUCUAGAGAACCUCGGGCAAAUCGCACAUCCCUGUGGCGGCGACUUUGCAUGGGGAUGUCAUCCAUAUCAACUUCUCGAUGCCAGUUUCUGCGCCUACCAUGGUGACCAUGGGUAAUGGGGAAUCAGGGUUCCAGUCCAUACAGGGACCCUGAGAAAUGGCUACCACAUGCAAGGAAGGCAGCAGGCGCGCAAAUGACCCACUCACGACGCGGGAAGGUAGUGACGACAAAUAACAAUACAGGACUCUUUAGAGGCCCUGUAAUUGUAAUGAGUCCACUUGAAAUCCUUUAACUCUGAUCAUUUGGAGGGAAGUCUGGUGCAGAGCCACUGACCCGUGCGUGCUGCAGCUGAAACUCCACU